AGUAUGUUUUUUGUUUGCAUUUUGACUGCAGGUAUUGUGGUUAAUGCAGAGAUGAAUCCUUGUAAAAAGGUUUCAGUUUUGUUGCCAGAAAAAAGGGGAAAACCCUAUUCUUAUAUAAGGGAGAAUUAAUCAUUAUUUACAUUCAAUCGUUCUCAGGGCGCUAUGCAUGGCAAGGCGGAAAAUAGUUUAACAACAAAGCAAAGAAGAAUUGAGAAAGACGGUUGAAAAUAAGUAAAGAGAGAAAUGUAUUUUAAAUAGAUGCGUUUUUAGUCGAGAUUUAAAGAUGUCUCGGAAGUCGUCACCUCGGAAGGGCAACGAGUCCCAGAGUUUAGGCCUCGCAAUUGCAAAGCCGCCGCUGUCACCACCCCCAAGUGUGACGCCGAGACCGUGGUGACAGCGAGCAAUGCACAAUCCGAGGAUAUUAAAGAUCUUGAUGGAAUAUUUGGCCGGAGGUCAUGAAUGUACGGAGAAGGAAGUCCAUUUAAGGCCUUGAAUACCAGCAACAGAAUCUUUAAAUCAAUACGGGGUACGGACAGGGAGCCACUUGUGCACGUGGAGAUGACCUAGGUGCACGUGUACCCGGCCACGUAGGGCGUUCACCCAGUCCGCCAGGUGAACCUGUAGGAGUGGAGCUCACCAGGUGAACCUGUAGGAGUGUAACGUGGAGCUCACCAGGUGAACCUGUAGGAGUGUAACGUGGAGCUCACCAGGUGAACCUGUAGGAGUGUAACGUGGAGCUCACCAGGUGAACUUAACCACCACCCGGAGCCGGAAUCAUCGGGACCCCAAUCAUGAAUGUUCUAAUUAUUAUGAAUGGCGACUUUGUGACGAUUCAGCUUUAUUUAUGCAGCUACACAGUGGGGACGAAUGCUUCGUGUGAUAUAUAACAGACAACAAUAACUGUUUGUAUUGAUGCAAUCUUUAAAUAUAUAUAUUUUGUAAAAACUUGAUGUGAAAUGGUAAUUGUACUUUUAUUUUGGAUACAUUUUCGUGUAAAUAAGUGCCGUGCUAUUGCGAGAGUGGGUUUUGCCCAGAUGAAGAUAGCGGCACGCGUUACCAAUCCACGUACUUUAGUUUCAACUGUGUUAAAUUAACGAUGCACACACACACGAUUUUCCUUUCAAACCUGAAAAUAAAUUAAAAGCUCAUUAACGUGUUAUCUGAUAGCUGCUCUGAUUAACGCCUGACAUGCUGGAAUAUAUUUGAUGUCACACAGCUGCUGUGAUUAACGCCUGACAUGCUGGAAUAUAUCUGAUGUCACAGCUGCUGUGAUUAAUGCCUGACAUGCUGGAAUAUAUUUGAUGUCACAGCUGCUGUGAUUAACGCCUAACAUGCUGGAAUAUAUCUGAUGUCACACAGCUGCUCUGAUUAACGCCUGACAUGCUGGAAUAUAUCUGAUGUCACACAGCUGCUCUGAUUAACGCCUGACAUGCUGGAAUAUAUCUGAUGUCACACAGCUGCUGUGAUUAACGCCUGACAUGCUGGAAUAAAUUUGUUUUAACAAUG